ACACAGGCGCCGACGCCUAAAGCAAAGCUAGGGCGUUACGCAGGGAGGUGAGCACGAGAUACUAGGGGAACUCGGGAGGAAUCGAGAAGGCUUCGCGGAGGAGGCGACUAUGAGCUUGGAGGUGAAGACUGAGGGUUUCUCCAGGCCGGAAAGAGAGAAGAGGGUCCCAGGGAGGAAGAUCAGCCCGGGGGGCCGUACGGAGACGUGAGUGCAUUUGGUGUCAGGGAAACAGGUGGAGUUCAGAGUGUGAGGUCCAGUGUGAGGCAGAGGCAGGAAUGGGGUUGGCAGGGCCUGGGGUCAGCCAAGGAGCACAACUUUUAUCCUCUCGGCAAGCAGCAGGGAGCCCCCGCAGCCUUGGCGAGACGGCAGCCUGGGCAUUUUGGUGCAGAACCUGGCGCGGGGUGGAGGAGGCACUGGAGGAGGGACGGGACGAUGGCAGGGGGACAGCGGUCUGGGAGGGCAGGUGUCGGUACCUGAGCCCAGGCCGUGGCAGUGGGAAGAAAGUGCCGGCCGGAUUGGAGAGGCGUCCAGGGGAGACUCAGGGGACUUGGUGGCCAGCUGGGUUGCCUGAGGGACCUUCAGUGCCCUUCUCCCACCCAACCCAGCCAGCUCAGACUCAUCCUCUGGGACCAAGCCUCCCCUGCACUGUUCACAGUCUUCACAUCCUUGUCCCAGUGGUCUGUUACACCCCUCUGUCCUGACUGUCAGCUCCUUGAGACCAGGGGCCGUGUCUAUUACCCAUUUGUGUCUCUGGCGUCCAGCAAGUUCCUGGCACUUAGGAAACGCUCAGCAAAGCGUGUGGGGCAAAGGAGAAUGCAGAGGGGCAGGGGCUCUAAGGUGACGCCCAGGUGUCCGGCUCGGGCAUCUGGGUAGGUGGCGGGGCCACUCAUUGAAAUCAGAGAAUUCGGAUGGAGCAGGUUUGGCUGCAGGGGAAUAGAGGAGGGCACUGUGCUGGUUCGGGACACGUCACAUCUGAGAUUCCUGGGCCAGAACAGUCUUAAGUUCCCCAAAAUGAGAACUUCCCUGGGUCUGACAUCGCUGAGCUGCCUCCGUUCCCUUGAAGAAUUCUCCACAAAUGACGACACGAACUCUGAGGGUCACCUUAGCACCCUUGCCCCCGGCCCCCCUGGAGAGGGCGGGGGUGAUGAGGGACAGCUCCUUACAAAGAAGGAGCGACCAAGACUCCAAGCCCCCCAUUGCAGCCCAGAUGCUGGGGGUCUCCUGUCCUGCCAGGGUCAGACCCGCUCAUGCCGGAAGUGGUGGGAAACAGGCCUCACCCCCAACACGUAGAGGACUGGCUGGUGGGAGGGAGGGGAGGAGGAGAGAGGAAGGGGUCAGAGGAGCUGGGUACAGACCUGGGCAGCAGAACAGGGCGGAGAUGGCCCAGGCGGGACCAAGGAGGCAGCCAGCCCACCUCCUCAGCAGCUCCGAAUCCCAUUCCCCCUCCCCGCCCCAAAGGACCACUGGCCACACUCGCCUCCCCUGGAGGCCCCCCAAUGGGCAAAGUGGCUCUGUCCCCAUGUGUUGGCCCGCCAGCCCCGCCCAGCACCUGGAUCUGCUCGAAGGGGACCUCGAAGCUGAAGGACUCGUUGAAGUAGGGGUUCAGAGUCUUCUUCUUCACCGUCGUCUUCUUCUUCUUGAGCCUCUUGCCGCUCUGCAGCAGGUGGAUCUUCACAUAGGGGUCUGCACGGGAGAGGCGCGGCCCAGAGGUCCGGUCAGCCCCACCCGCCCGUGGCCACUGAGUCCAGAAGAGUGAGGGCGGCUUGACGAUGUCUGUCCCAGGCAGGGCGGAGGACUGCUAAGGACGACCUCCACCUGCCAUCCCUGACCUUGCAGACGAAAAACCAAAGCCCACAGAAAGGACAUGAUCUGCCAAGGCCACACCAUGGGUUAGGGACAGGGCUGGCAGCUGGACCUGCUAGUCAAGCCCAAGCACCAGCUGCUGCUCGGGAAGGUGCGGUGAUUGGCCAUGCCACCACCGGAACAUCCCACCUGUGCUGCGGGCCAGCCCCACCCAGAGCACUCCCCUCCUCCAGCCCCCUUCCACAGCAGAGCCCCAGAGCCUGUCCUGGAGAAGCGUCACAGAUUUUGGUGGCACCACAGAUGGCGAGCCCCGUCCACUGCCUAUGCUUCCCUGACAGGAGAAUCCUAGGUUACUGACUCAUCUGAGGGGUCCUUUCUCCGGUGGCGCCCAGGGCCUGGAAGGGGAGCACGGGAAGGCAGUUCAGAGGGUCAGGGAGCCCUCAGAGAAAGUGGGAGUCAGCAACUAGACUUCUGCUACCUGGUCCUGCCCCCAGGACCCGCAGCUGUUGGGAGACCCCUCCCGGUGGGUGUGCAUGCUGGGUGUGCGUGCUGGAGCUCCAGCAGAGACUGACUCGCUGCUGCCACCCAGUGGCAGCCAGAAGCUCUGCACGUACCUGAGAGGCCGCCCACGUCCAUCUUCUUCAGGUUCUUGGCCUCCAGGAUGCAGACCGUGAGCUUCCCGGCCGUGGGCACAUAGCGCAGGGAGGUGCAGAUGUCCCCCAGCUUCUCUGGCUGUCCAGAGAGAGAGAAGGGACCUGGAGUCAUGUCAGCCAUCCCACUUUCUCUAGCAAGGACGACCAGUCUUCCUGAGACUAGCAAGGCAGUGGUGUGAGCCCAGCUCCCUCCAUCCCCAGGCCCCACAAUCUGAUGGCUGAGCAGGCGUCUCAGUGGCUGACCCCGUGACCUCCUGCCGCUGCCCAACACAGCCCCUCAGGGUGACCAGGUGGCAUCAGGGCUCAUGUCCAAGGGCCCUGGAGAUGGAGUAUCUCGGGAGGCUUCCUCCAAUUCCUCCUCCCACUGAGCCAGCUCCCUCCUGCUGGCCAUUCCUCUUGCAGAGCGAUGUGUGGUUUUUAAAGCACUUUGCAUCUCUUAUGUCGCUGUCCCUGCAACUCUUUCAUGCAGACAGUGCGAAGGUUCCUUGUGACCAGCGAGAGACAGGUUUGGGGGGAGAGGACGUGCUCAGAGUCCCAUGACAACUGGGCACAGGGCCAGGGGGAGUGGAGGAGCCAAGGCUCCUGGCUCCCAAGACCGCUGCCGACACCCGCCGCAGUCACAGCUCAGAGAUGGGCCACCUCACCCCCGUCGGGCCCUGGGUGUGGGCCCUUCCUCAACACACGCAAACCCUCGGGUGAGGAAAGAUGUCUCAAGCGUCUCUUCUUGCCCCUGCAUCACUACCAGGGACUAUGCCCAGCACACUACAGGAGCUCGGCCGAGACAAACGGCGUGUUUGGGUCCACGGAGAGUGCUUGCUAAGUAUUUGGUCCCGCCACUCCUCGACGGGCUGGCCCAGGUCCACGGUGUUCAUGGGCACCUUCACCUCCCCGAUGAUGUCGUGUUUGGAGAAGCGGUCGAAGUCGUAGAUGGCCAUCACCAGGGUUUUGCCCCCCAGCUCCUGGUAUGGCACCUGCAGGCACAGAGGGGCAGAGAGGGCAGCUAGGGGUGCUGUGGGCAGAGCUCUGGCCUGCGGGACUCCUGGCCAGUCUGUAGAGACACAAGUCCCCUGAACCUGGGGAGCAGAGCACAGGGUGGGGAAUCCUGGUCCUCCAGGGGCCUGGGCGGAGUCUCACAUGUGGCCACUGUCCCCAACGGAACUGCCUCCCGGACCUCAGCUGCAGCCAAGGACCAAGGAAAGGCCUGCAGCUGGGACCUGGUAACGGGUCAGGAGGCACCCGGCACCGACAUCCAGCCCUUGUCACCUUGAAGGUGAAGGUUUCGUUGAAGGCAGGGUUCAGUGUCUUCCGAUGGACUUUGGUCUCGUAUUUCUUCUUCUUGUCUGGAAGGAGGAAGACUUUGACGUAAGGGUCAGAGGUGCCGCCCAUGUCCAGGGCGGGCAGUUCGGCAGCCUGCAGGACGCCAACGGUCAGCUAGAGAGAGAGUGAGCAGAACUGGCAUCUCAGGGCUGGAUGUGCCUGGACCAGCCCUGGCAGCAGGCAGCUGCGAGGGGAGGGCAGGCUGGUGCUAGUGAGAGACUGGGCCCCAUCUCCACCCCCAAGAAUUGGGGACACUGAAGUUGAGAGGGCGACAGGUUUGCCCAGUUGGCGGGCAGGUCUACAGCGGAGCUAGCCAGGGGCCCUUCCCGAGAGCCAGCUGGGCACCUGUGCGGCCCGGAUGCCCGCACAGGCCGUGAGGUUCCCAGCCUGCCCACCUCACCCUCCAGCCCAGCCCCGCACACCUGGUUAGCCUGAAAGUCAUAGUCCAGGGAGAACUGCAGCUUGCCCAGGUUCUCAGGCUCCUUCUCCUCUUCUCCGUCCCCCUCGCCCUCAGUCAGACCCGUUUCUGCAUCGUCAUCGUCCUGGCGGGGGGCUGUGGGGAGAAGGGACACGUUACCAGAAGAACAGAGCAGCCUAGCUUUGCACAGGGACAACGGGAAGCCAGCCCCCUGUGCAGACCCUGGCUCAGCACUGGGUAUAGGAGGCGUGGUGCUAUCCGGGGUACUCACAGCCCCUCAGAGCCCCAGCUCUGCGCUAAGGUGUGCCGCCCCUGCGAGGCCCAGUGCAGGGAGGCCAGGCGCUGUGCCAAGCGCCCCACAGCAGCUCGGGGGGAUGGGGGUGCUUCCCUUGUCGGCCCCUCCCCAAUGCCUCUCCCAGCUCAGGCCUCUCCCACCCUGGGCAAGACCUACCGGAGGGCGUCCAGGUGGGCAUCCGGGCGGCAGGGAGCGGCAAGUCCACGCAGGCAGGAGGAGGAGGAAAGUGCCAUAAGAACAGACCCAGCCGCUGAGACCAGCCGGGAAGUCGGGGAAGUCGGGGAAGUCGCAGCUGCUCGGCGGGGCCGGGCGGGGCUGGGCCGGGCUGGGCCAGGCCCAGGGCGUUCCCGAAGCCCCUCCACACACCAGCUCACACACAAGCACACAAAGGCCACUUUGCUCCCCGGCUGACUUCCUGAGAUCAGGCACUUCCCUCCAUCCUCCCCCGUGUUGAUUCCUUGAGCAAAAGAUUCUUCCCAGUCACCCCAGCUGAGAAAGUGAAGCCAGAAGUCUCUGUCAGCUCGAAAAAGGGAACUAGGGCCUUCUGGGCUGAGCAGCCCUAAGGACGAAGGACCAGUAAGCAAACCCAAUUUGACCGGCCUAGGGACGCCCGCCGGGCCCCGCCCGCCCCAGCCAGAGGUGGUCUCCAGGCCCCGUGUGGCCUCCUGGGGCGCUCUUUCCCAGGUUUUGUCCCAGUGGGGGGCCCGUCGUGGCCUCGGGGGCGGGCUGCAGGGCCGCUCGAGGCGGGAGCCCCGUCACCCUACCUGUGCCCCUUUCAUGUCCUUCAUGCUCAUGGCGUUCUUCGCGCCCUUGGCUUUCUCCUUCUUCUUCUUCUUCUUGCAGCAGCAUUUCUUGCAGACGCAGAAGCAGCAGGUGAGCAGCAGCAGGCCGGCGACCACGGCGAUGGCGACCAGCGCCCAGGGCGGCACUGCCCCGCGGGGAAGGCCGGGUCAGCGCCGCCUGCCUCGCAGCCCCGCGCGUGCGGGGUCUGCGGCCUCCAGCGCCCACGCCCCGUAUCUAGUCCCACGCUCACUGCGCAUCUGCAGGUGAGAUGCUUGACGCGCCUUUCAUCAUUAACACCUGGCUCUGCCCUUAGCUGCCUGAGGAUGCACCUGCCCGAGGAAUGGCAGCAGCCAGGAGAUGGGAGGGCCCUGUCAGACGGGUGGGAGGACCCCGAGGCCCACCCCAUGCUCAGUCUCCUGGGGGCUGGCCCUGGGUGGCUCCCCGUGGUCCCCAAAGCCCCUCUCUCGCCCUAGGGCUGCUCCUCCGCAGGGCCUCUGGGAAGUGAGUAAGCAAGGGGACAUUUAUUUUCCAUCUUCCAAAAUAAAGUAGUUUCCAAGUGUGACUGGAGAA